rnacentral:rRNA from 1 species
CAAUAGCGUAUAUUAAAGUUGUUGCAGUUAAAAAGCUCGUAGUUGGAUUUCUGGUGGGAGCGAUCGGUCUGGCGCUUAGCGCGAGUAUUUGCAUCGUCUCCGGCCAUCCUUGGGGAGAGUCUGUCUGGCAUUAAGUUGUCGGGCAGAGGAUCCUCAUCGUUUACUGUGAAAAAAUUAGAGUGUUCAAAGCAGGCUUAUGCCGUUGAAUAUAUUAGCAUGGAAUAAUAAGAUAGGACUUUGGUACUAUUUUGUUGGUUUGCGCACCAAAGUAAUGAUUAAUAGGGACAGUUGGGGGUAUUCGUAUUCCGUUGUCAGAGGUGAAAUUCUUGGAUUUACGGAAGACGAACUACUGCGAAAGCAUUUACCAAGGAUGUUUUCAUUAA